rnacentral:lncRNA from 1 species
GUGUGGUUUUCCAGGCGAGUCCGUGGGCUCCUGGGUGGGUGGUCGGGCUCGUGGGGAGAUCCCAAGCAAUGGUUGUAGAGGGAUGGGAGGGAAUGGGUGGAUCCCAGAGAGAGAGAGAGAGAGAGAGCAGGCUGGUUCCACUGUGGCCUCGUUGUCUAAUGAGGAGAGUGUACAGAUAAGUCAUGCUUUGUUUUGCUCUGUCUCUGGAAUUUUA